UACCCUUCUGUGGUGUAGUUGGUAGCACCUUGACUUAGCAAUUCUAAGUCGUAGGUUCAAGUCCCGGUCGGGGUAA